GUCAAGCAUUCCUCAUAUCCCUACCGGUUGUUUCUAAAAAUAAAAUGAAACAUAUGGAUGGUUAACUACAGCUUAUUUAAGCCACCAAAUCAGCUAGCAGGUGCAAGAAGACAAACAUGGAAAUUGAUAAGAUAGUUUCGUUUUAGCUUGAUUCUUUGCUAGCCAUGUAAGAAAAUAAAGCUACUCCUCUGCCUGAAAUUUCUUACAUGCCCUCUAACUUGCAGGUGAUAAUUGGGGCAUAUGUGGCCAAAAGCAAUAGAAUGUGGUCAUGAAGAUAAAAUAAUGGGGAAGAACACCAAAAUAAGUGAAGCUGUAGAAAUUUGCUUUUCCCGGAAUCUACUGGGAAGAACAAAAAUCUGUCCCUAUCACUGUGCAGUUUGAAAAUAACUUGGUAACCAAGAAUGUCAAACUGAAGAAUACAAAAUUGAGUCAGCCUGACAUGUGGCAAUGUAAUUUGGGUUUCAGUGCCUUUCUAGCCAUGUUCUUUUUUUCAGAUAUACAUGGGUGAAUCAUCAUUAUCAUAGCCUGUCAUUCUUUCUGGUUCUCCAGCAAGAUGCCGUUCCUAAAUUCACUCUCCAAAACACAUGGACUCACCUUAAAUCCAGCACUGGAAGUUCCUACAAUGUUUGGCUGCUCCCGAGGUUGCCCCAACAAGAAUCUCUGGCUGGAGGUGCCACUGUCUUAGCCUUGGAUAACACAGGAGCCAUCUUGAUGAUAAAGUUGUUCUUCAGACUUGUGCAGCAGACAAUGGCAUUCCAGUUCGAGGGGCCACUAAGGAUUCUAAUGGCCUGGCCAUUUUCAUCACUCUACUUUCAUUCUGAAUGUAGCAGCUUCUCAAGAUAUUGAGUAUGUGCAUGUGUUUGAAAUAUUGAAUGUGAAUACAUGAAAUAAAGCUGAAUGCGUUUAGAGAAUAAUUAAUAUGCUAGAAAAGCUAAUUCACAUACAUUUCUGCUAGAAAAGAAAAUUAGUGAAAUUGUCCUACCACAAUGAAGCUGGAAAAAGCCAUCCAUGACUUUAGUUCCUGUCAUUCCUGUUUUGAGCUUGGGAGGAAAUGACUGCAUUAAUUUGUGAAAAGUCCCUUUCUCAUUGACUGUCCCUUGUUUUCUUCCUCUGAACUCCUUACAAAGCCAUCUCUUCCUGCCUUCCUUUAACUUGCUGAUUCCGAUGGAUCUAAAUAUAUGUUUCUUCCAGAGAGGAAUGUCAACAUUCAUUUUCUAAGGAUAGAUAUGGGGAUUCUAAACAGUCUCUGAUAUACAAAACAGGAGGGCCCUUGGGAUGUAAAGAAGACCAUCCUUCCUCCAAGUUGCUCUUCUGGGAUUAAAAUCAUUUAACUGUGGAAACAAUUAAACAAUCACAUUCUAAUCGUGAUCUAAAAUAAACAAAUAUUCCUGUAA